rnacentral:rRNA from 1 species
AAAUAGAUACCCAGGUAGUCCACCCCGUAAACGUUGGGAACUAGUUGUGGGGUCCAUUCCACGGAUUCCGUGACGCAGCUAACGCAUUAAGUUCCCCGCCUGGGGAGUACGGCCGCAAGGCUAAAACUCAAAGGAAUUGACGGGGACCCGCACAAGCGGCGGAGCAUGCGGAUUAAUUCGAUGCAACGCGAAGAACCUUACCAAGGCUUGACAUACACGAGAACGGGCCAGAAAUGGUCAACUCUUUGGACACUCGUGAACAGGUGGUGCAUGGUUGUCGUCAGCUCGUGUCGUGAGAUGUUGGGUUAAGUCCCGCAACGAGCGCAACCCUCGUUCUAUGUUGCCAGCACGUAAUGGUGGGAACUCAUGGGAUACUGCCGGGGUCAACUCGGAGGAAGGUGGGGAUGACGUCAAAUCAUCAUGCCCCUUAUGUCUUGGGCUUCACGCAUGCUACAAUGGCCGGUACAAAGGGCUGCAAUACCGUGAGGUGGAGCGAAUCCCAAAAAGCCGGUCCAGUUCGGAUUGAGGUCUGCAACUCGA